GGAACAAUGGUUAAGCGGUUAAGACAUCGCCUUUUCACGGCGGUAACGAGGGUUCGACUCCCUCUUGUUCCA
rnacentral:tRNA from 1 species